CAUAAAUAUUGGAAACAUACCAACAUUAUCAAGAGCUGUGUGACUUAAAUCUAAAGACAAAAGGUGGGGCAUAUUUAGAAAUGUACUCCUCAAGCCAAUAUGUACAUUGUAGCUAAGGUUAAGAUGUUGAAGAAAUGAUGCACCAGAGAUAAUUUGAUUGCAGCAAUACUCAAGCAUCAUCUGAUUUUUACUCAGAUCAAGAUAUUCUAACUUAUCUAAACCAUUAAUGCGUUCUGUAAAGCUAGAGAGUUUUGGACUAUCCGUUAUUUUAAUUUUUCGGAGUGAUCCGACCAUUGAAACAAUUUGAGAUGGAAACUCAGAGAUCAUACAUCUCUUAAGUUCAAAAUGUUGGAGUUUGGAAAACACAAUGGGUUGAGG